GGAAGCAGCUUGCUGCUUCGCUGACGAGUGGCGGACGGGUGAGUAAUGUCUGGGAAACUGCCUGAUGGAGGGGGAUAACUACUGGAAACGGUAGCUAAUACCGCAUAACGUCGCAAGACCAAAGAGGGGGACCUUCGGGCCUCUUGCCAUCGGAUGUGCCCAGAUGGGAUUAGCUAGUAGGUGGGGUAACGGCUCACCUAGGCGACGAUCCCUAGCUGGUCUGAGAGGAUGACCAGCCACACUGGAACUGAGACACGGUCCAGACUCCUACGGGAGGCAGCAGUGGGGAAUAUUGCACAAUGGGCGCAAGCCUGAUGCAGCCAUGCCGCGUGUAUGAAGAAGGCCUUCGGGUUGUAAAGUACUUUCAGCGGGGAGGAAGGGAGUAAAGUUAAUACCUUUGCUCAUUGACGUUACCCGCAGAAGAAGCACCGGCUAACUCCGUGCCAGCAGCCGCGGUAAUACGGAGGGUGCAAGCGUUAAUCGGAAUUACUGGGCGUAAAGCGCACGCAGGCGGUUUGUUAAGUCAGAUGUGAAAUCCCCGGGCUCAACCUGGGAACUGCAUCUGAUACUGGCAAGCUUGAGUCUCGUAGAGGGGGGUAGAACUCCAUG
rnacentral:rRNA from 1 species